rnacentral:misc_RNA from 1 species
UGGUUCUGGCAUCGAUGAAGAACGCAGCGAAAUGCGAUAAGUAAUGUGAAUUGCAGAAUUCAGUGAAUCAUCGAAUCUUUGAACGCACAUUGCGCCCGCCAGUAUUCUGGCGGGCAUGCCUGUUCGAGCGUCAUUUCAACCACUCAGGCCCUGGUGCCUGGCGUCGGGGUUUCUCCGUAAAAAGAGAGCCCCUAGAAAUAGUGGCGGACCCGCCGCGGCUCCGAGCGUAGUAGUAAAAUAUCUCGCUUUGGAGGUCCGUGGGGGGAUCACCGGCCGUAAAACCUCUUCUUUACUGAAGAAUUUCUCAAGGUUGACCUCGGAUCAGGUAGGAAUACCCGCUGA